rnacentral:rRNA from 1 species
AGUGAACGCUGGCGGCAGGCCUAAUACAUGCAAGUCGAACGGCAGCACGGCAGAGCUUGCUCUGUGGGUGGCGAGUGGCGGACGGGUGCGUAACGCGUAUGCAACAUGCCUUCCAGCGGGGGAUAUACCAGGGAAACUUGGCGCAAUACCCCAUAGAAUUACGGGACCGCAUGGUCUUGUGAUUAAAACUCCGGUGCUGGGAGAUUGGCAUGCGUGACAUUAGCUAGUUGGCGGGGUAACGGCCCACCAAGGCGACGAUGUCUAGCUGGUCUGAGAGGAUGAUCAGCCACACUGGGACUGAGACACGGCCCAGACUCCUACGGGAGGCAGCAGUAGGGAAUAUUGGACAAUGGGGGGAACCCUGAUCCAGCCAUGCCGCGUGAGGGAAGAAGGUCCUCUGGAUUGUAAACCUCUUUUGGCAGGAAACAAACCUGCGCUAUACGCGCAGCUGAGGGUACCUGCAGAA